UUCGCCCCCUUCCAAGGGGCUCGCUUUUCACCUGGAAGUAAUCUUGCCAACCGACCCACGCGGGCUCGCCGGCAGCGCUUUACGGCAGAAGCAGCGUGCCAUAAAGCAGGCCCGCUUUACGUCGCGCUUGUACGACAGGCGUUAAAACUUCCUGGUUUCCAUUCCGCCCCCUGGCGACGCUCUUUGGAAGCACAUGUACGCACGCCCAUCUUUUCUCUGAGCCCUAGAAGGAAGGCGGACAGGCUUCGGCUUCCCCAGGUGGGUACAAAGGUGCGUGGUGCUUUGCUCGUCACUUUCGGUUGUGAGAAUCGGCCUGCGUAAACGUGUAGUAGUGGAGGUGGUUGAAUGCAGUGCCUUUAUAUUAUGCCACAAUAAAAACGCAACCAGCCGUUAAGGGUGCGGGAGAUCUCAAGACUCCUCACAGCAGUUGACAAAUAGGUCUUGUUCAAAAGCCUGCUAUUUUAAAUGAGAAAAGGGAUGCUUAGAAAGGGUUACGUGCACACGAGCGAAAAAGGAGCUGGAAACCUAAGUCUGCUACGACCACAGGUUUUUUCCCCUAGGAUGUGCCACAGGUGUGGGGAGGCAAGGCUGAGAUUCGCGCCCUUCCCCUUCCCCUCAUUUUACUGAAGUAUCGCAGGGUCCCUGGUAAUUCAUCUAUUCCGACAUUUUUCAUGGUACUAGAGCAGAACUCCAUCCGGAGAGGUAAAGUGAUUUCCUAAGUCACCCAGAGAGACGGAGUUAGAGAAAGCAGUAAAGCCCAAUCAGGUGUCUCAAGACCGAACUCGAAGCCGGACGGAGCACUUUCAAAGGGGAAGUAACUGGAGCUUCCACUGCGGCCCAGCGGAUUAAGGACCUAACAUGGUCUCCGUGAGGAUGCAGGGAAAGUUCUUGGUAAAACCCACGCGAAGAAGAUGCCUGUGCCAAUUAGUAGAGUCCUUAGGAAGAUGUUUAACGUGUUCUGCUGUUCACUGCAUUUCUCCUGAAUACAUCGUUGGAUCUAGAACUUCGAUCACACUUCACUGUAGUUGCUGUUUUAGCCUCCAUCAGGAGGUGUAGCUCAUCUAGUUGCCUUUCAUUUUGUGAUAUUUCCAGUGAUUGAUAAUUAGUGUCUAAAUUUAUUCAUUCAUUAGAGGUCACGUUGUUAUUCUGUCAUAAGGGAAGAUAUUCUAACACUAUCAUUUUUUUCUUCACUUACUUGCUGGACUCUUUCUGUGAAGACAGACUUCCUCUAAAUUUUGUUUACCCAAUGGUACUGUUUGUAUAGGAAGGCAGAAGAAAUGCUUGAUUCUCUCCCUUCAGUUACUAACUUCCAACAUAAGGAGUCAAUUCAGUAGAUCUUCUAAUGCUGAUUGAUCAAGCGUUUUGUUUUGGUUUUUUUUGUUUGUUUGUUUUGUUUUGUUUUUUUGUCU